rnacentral:rRNA from 1 species
AUUGAACGCUGGCGGCAGGCCUAACACAUGCAAGUCGAGCGGAGCGGCGGACGGGUGAGUGAUGCCUAGGAAUCUGCCUGGUAGUGGGGGAUAACGUCCAGAAACGGGCGCUAAUACUGCAUACUAUCAGAUGAGCCUAGGCCGGAUUAGCUAGAUGGCGGGGUAAAGGCAUACCAGGGCUACGUUCCGUAACGGGUCUGAGAGGAGGAUCAGUCACACUGGAACUGAGACACGGUCCAGACUCCUACGGGAGGCAGCAGUGGGGAAUCUUGGACAAUGGGCGCAAGCCUGAUCCAGCCAUGCCGCGUGUGUGAAGAAGGUCUUCGGAUUGUAAAGCACUUUACGUUGAGAGGCGUUACCUGCAGAAUAAGCACCGGCUAACUUCGUGCCAGCAGCCGCGGUAAUUC